UAAGGAAUAUUGGUCAAUGGGCGAAAGCCUGAACCAGCCAUCCAGCGUGCAGGAAGAAGGCCCUAUGGGUUGUAAACUGCUUUUAUCAGGGAAGAAACCUCUGGAUUCACUCCGGAGCUGACGGUACCUGAAGAAUAAGCACCGGCUAACUCCGUGCCAGCAGCCGCGGUAAUACGGAGGGUGCGAGCGUUAUCCGGAAUUACUGGGUUUAAAGGGUGCGUAGGCGGCUUUGUAAGUCAGGAGUGAAAGUUUGCGGCUCAACCGUAAAAUUGCUUCUGAUACUGCAUAGCUAGAAUUAGGAUGAGGUCAGCGGAAUGUGGCAUGUAGCGGUGAAAUGCAUAGAUAUGCCAUAGAACACCAAUUGCGAAGGCAGCUGGCUAGACCUGGAUUGACGCUGAGGCACGAAAGCGUGGGGAGCGAACAGG
rnacentral:rRNA from 1 species